GCGAGUGUAACCAAGCGGCCAACGGUGAUCGACUCAAGAUCGAUUCUCGCAGGAGUUCGCAGGUUCGAUUCCUGCCACUCGCA
rnacentral:tRNA from 1 species